UCUUCACUUACUCAAAAAUGGACGGAAGCAGAACCUAGCAGUAGCUGGCACAAAUCCAUGUUGCAGUUCCUGAACCGGACUAAGUCCUUUUUCUUCCUAGAUGUGUACCCGUUUUUUUUCCCUUGGUCUUCCGACCCGGUCAAUAUCAAACUAGACUACGCUCUGUUGCAGGCCAAGCUUCCGGUGGAGCCGGAGUAACCGACAGGCUCGAGUAAACCGUAGCAGAUCCGUGUUCUGGCCGGAGCAGGAGACGUCGACGAGCCGAGCUUCCGGUGAUCCAGCCCAAAUCCGACGGGCCCAGCAGCAACCCAGAACCGGAAUCCACGAUACCCAGCAACCCUGGAUCCGUGAAGCCCGUGAAGCCAGACCGCGCGUGCGUGCAACCCAGAGACCCAAGAUCCGGAUCCGAGCCAUUCCCGUCGAUGCCGCGAAGACCCGUAAAGCACGAACCCAGAACCCCGUGCUGGAUGGCAUUUUCCGACGAUCGGGAUGGUGUUUUCCAGCGACAAACUCGACCACUUCAGGCCAGCCCGACCCGGCAACAACCCGAUCCGUCAACCCGUGACCCGGAACCCUGACCCGCCGUCGACCCGCCGCCGGCAGUGUCUCCGGCGACUUUCCGGCGACUUUCCGGUGACUUUUUCGGCUAUUUUCCCCGGCGACCAAACUCACCGUUUCGCUGGAUUUUCGAGUGGAAAUCCUUAAUAUGAUGAAUUGAGACAGCACAAAAAGGACUAUGACUGUGCAGGCACAGACACUGACGAGUAUCAGGAUUAUCAGGAGCCUUAUGAUGAUUCUGGUUUCAUAGAUGACACUGUCUAAAGUCUCCUUUUUAUGAUAGACUUGCUGAACAGUUUAUCUUCCAUGUCGUUAUUAGGUUUUAUUUUAUGUACUUUCUAGACAUCUUAUGCUUUAUUUUAUGGUUUGUAAUAUGACUACUAUUACAUAGAACGUGUGCCGUGGUGGCCCUUAUGUUAUUGCUUUUAUGUGUAUUUAUUUGUAAGACCUUUUAUUAUUAUUUUAAUGUAAGUUGAGGUAUUUAAUUUAAAGGCUCUAAUGUGUUAUUUAA